AUUUUCAACGAUUUUCGAUAAUUACUGCCUGACUUAUGGCCCUUGAUCACUUCAAAAAAUCUUGUGGACGCUCUAGAGGUCAAAGUUAAUAUCCUAUUGACUUUAAAUUUAUACACAGUGUUUAAGGUCAUAGGAUGAAGAAGCCUAUUGAUUUUCAACGAUUUUCGAUAAUUACUGCCAGAGUUAUGGCCCUUGAUCACUUUGAAAAAUCUGGUGGACGCUCUAGAGGCUAAAGUUAAUAUCCGAUUGACUUUAAAUUUAUACACAUUGUUUAAGGUCAUGAGACGAAGAAGCCUAUUGAUUUUCAGCAAUUUCCAAUAAUUACUGCCAGAGUUAUGGCCCUUGAUCACUUUGAUAAAUCUUGUUCACGCUCUAGAGGCUAAAGUUAAUAUCCUAUUGACUUUAAAUUUAUACACAGUGUUUAAGGUCAUGAGACGAGGAAGCCCAUUGAUUUUCAGCGAUUUUCCAUAAUUACUGCCAGAGUUAUGGCCCUUGAUCACUUUGAAAAAUUUUGUGGACGAUCUAGAGGCUAAAGUUAAUAUCCGAAUGACUUUAAAUUUAUACACAGUUUUUGAGGCAUGAGAUGAAGAAUCAUAUUGAUUUUCAACGAUUUCGGACAAUGAGGUACCGGCAGAAUUAAACCGGAAGCUAGGUGGCGCGCAAAGAAAGUAGGACACGGAAGUGUCAGUCUCGUCUGCUCUACGCUUCACUGACAAUCAUUUUCAUUCUCACCGCCCGUUUUGGUUUUCUGUGUGAAUUAAAUAAUGCCAGCUCAUUGUUGCGUACCGAUGUGUAAUGGGAAAGGUGGGCAUAAAUUUCCGCUGGACCCUGUUGAGAGACGGCGAUGGAUUCAGGCCGUAAAAAGAGGAGAAAGUGACUGGACACCGUCUAAGUGGAGUAUUGUUUGUCGAUCGCAUUUUGAUUCUUCUGACUACAUUUCAGAAACCAAAGAAAGUAAGUUGACAAAAUACAUUUUUAUAUUUUGACUUUUUUUAGGAAUUAGAUUGAGAAAUAUUUUCAAUUAGAUCUAGUCCAAAGUUUUAAGGAUUACAAUUUCGGCGUUCGCUGCCAAGAGGAACUAGAAAUUUUAGGCCUAUCAAAACGUGUCACUAUUAAUAGUAUUAAUACUAGGCCUAUAUUAGUAUUUUAUGACUAGGCUAUACCAGGAGGGCCAAAGGACAGCUGGUGGCAAUCUACUCUUACUCUUACUUAGGCCUAAAUAGAAAACAGAUCUUGUGUAUAGCCCUUGGUAAAAUACUGUAUAUUUGCAAUACUACAGCAAUUAAGGCCUAGGAAUGAUUCUCAUUUAAUUAAAAUUUAGCCUAAAUUUAAGGCCAAAUUAGGCAUGCCUUGGUAAAACUAAAAUGCUGUAUAUUUACAAUACUACAACAAGGCCUAGGAAUGAUUCUCAUUUAAUUAAAAUUUAGCCUAUGGCUAUGCCUAUAUAUGAGUAAAAAAAAGUAAAAUUUUUUUUGUACUAGACUACUGUUAAAUCUACCGGUAUUUGAUUGUAUUUUUAAUAUUAAUUAUUCCAGGGGAUCAAAUGGUCAAUAGUAUAUUGAAGCCAGGAGCGAUUCCACAUUUAUUUGCUUGGAAAAGAACAAGUUUAUCAGGUAGUAGGCGCAGAGAAAGAGCCCUACAUAAACAACUUCUGAAAAUGUAGGAAACGAAGUUGAAAUAGAAUACAUCGAAGAGGACUUUACUCCUAUCGAAGUUAAAAGUGAACCUGAUACAAAAGACUCUGCUACUCAAGUUGAUAUGUCAAUGCGCUUCUGUGCCCGAAAAUACAUGUUGAGUUCGGAGAAAUUUCUAUAUUAUACUGGACUAGAAAGCUAUGAUGCUUUUAUGUGUUUGUUUUACUCGUUUGGGCCAGUAGUUGAUGAACUUAGGUAUUUUUAUGCGACAAAACCUAAGAUGUCAACAGAGGACCAGUUUUUUCUGACUUUGGUUAAACUUAGACUUGGGAGGAGUAAUUUAGAGUUGUCUGACACAUUUGAAAUAUGUGAAAAAGAGCUUAUGAACAUAUUUAUAACAUGGAUAAAUUUCAUGUAUUUUCACUUUAAGGAAAUUAACUGGUGGCCAUCCAAAGACUUGGUAAAGUUUUACAGUCCUGCAGACUUUAAGUCUAAGUUUCCGACAACAAGGAUAGUAAUUGAUGGUACGGAAAUACCAAUACAAAGGCCAAAACAACCCAUUAUUCAGCAAGGCACAUUUUCCACAUAUAAAAACAGAAAUACGGUUAAGGUCCUUGUAGGUGUUACACCAGGGGGUCUUGUGAGUUAUGUGUCCGAUGCAUUUGGUGGUGCAGCCAGUGAUAGGCAGAUAUGCGAGAGAAGCUGUCUAAUGAAUUUAUGUGAAUCUGGUGACUCUGUCAUGGCAGAUAAGGGGUUUAAUGUCCAAGAUCUGUUCAUACCGUCAAAUGUGGAAAUUAACAUUCCAGAAUUUUUUUAAAAAAAGAACAGGAUGUCUGGACAUUCAGUAGCAAAUGAUCGAAAAAUAGCCAGCAAACGAGUGCACGUUGAACGAAUUAUCGGACUAGCCAAGACAUUUAAAAUAUUGAAAAAACCUCUAAAUAAUACAGAAUCAAAUUUGUCAGAUGCAAUUAUUUCAGUUUGUUUUUAUUUAUGUAAUUUUAGACCAGCCAUUGUCCACAAUGAUGCCUAAGUUGACGUGUAUUGAUCUUGUAACAUUGGAUAGAAUAAAACAUAUUAACUCUGA